CUGUACUCCCCGUUGUUGGCGGUUGGAAGAACUGUGCGAGUGCUCUCUGCUAAUUAAUGAAUUUUAUCGUGGGUCGAAGAGCUGCAUAGGUGUGUGCGUGUGGUUUUGACAAAUUGAUGAUCGUCUUCGUGUGGAGUGCGUAUGAUUUGUGGGGAAUAACAUCUUGGAUACUGUUAGUGGGCUGCUGUGUAUUGUUGUGCCUCUCCUCCUAUGAAGUGGUUGGCUUCUACCGGCUAGCAAUAUCAAUGAUAUUAAUUCAAGUUGUUGUGCACCUGUCCCUUUCCCUGUAAGGAAGUGAUUGGCUUUACAGUUUAGCACUGCGCCUGAUUUUCCUCCAUGAGGUGGUUGCCUGCUACAGUUUAGUCCAUUAUAUGGGCUGAGGUAUGAGUAUUUUUUUUAUUAAG